rnacentral:snRNA from 1 species
GUGCUCACUUUAGCAGCACAUACACUAAAAUUGGAAUGAUACAGAAUAGAUUAGCAUGGCCCUUGCGCAAGGAUGACACACAAAUUCAUGAAGCAUUACAUAUUUUU